GCUAAUUAUCAUCACUGUACACAGUUAAGUGCAGCAGAGAAUGGGGGUGACGAAUGGUUCGCUCCGCAUUACGCUCCUUCUCUGGGUAAAACAAGGCCGUCUUUUCUGUGAACAUAUUUAAAGCAAGAACUGCAAAAACUGUGCAAUGUUAUGGUUGAGGCUUUCUAUUUGCCAUAUGUGUUGACAGAAUGCUUAAGAGUCUCUCUCCGCAAUAAACGCGAACCCUGCCAGGCUGAAUUAUUAGGGCCAGCGCAAUUCAACGACUGCACCACCACCGAACCGCUGGGGUUGGAAGCCUGCGUCGCAUCGGAGCGUACCCAUGUUUCUUCUAACAAAGGCACGAUCUUGAGGCCAUUUCGCGGGCCCUUUUCCCACUCCCAGCGCCAGCUUUGUCUCCCCGCCGGUAUGAGGCUGAGACUUGGAGGAGGCUGAGCUGCGCCGCUGGGGAACAAGCUCGAAGGGCGGGCGUGGGAAGCUGCACCGCGCUGCCGCUGUGGUUUCCUGCGACCUGACCGUGCCAUUAGAGGAAGUUGGAGUGCUGCAGCUGCAAGAGAUACCUGCUGCCUUCAAAUCAGGGCUGGACUCCAACAACCCCUGUGCACCGAUUACUGU
rnacentral:lncRNA from 1 species